rnacentral:rRNA from 1 species
GACGAACGCUGGCGGCGUGCUUAACACAUGCAAGUCGAGCGGAGCGGCGAACGGGCGAGUAACUCGUGAGUAACUGCCCCCCUCUCUGGGAUAACAGUUGGAAACGGCUGCCACUAACGGAUAGUGUGGGAUGACUCGCGUCCUAUCAGCUUGUUGGUGGGGUAGUGGCCUAACAAGGCGACGACGGGUAGCCGGCCUGAGAGGGGGACCGGCCACAUUGGGCUGAGAUACGGCCCCAACGCCAACGGGAGGCAGGAGUGGGGAGUAUUGCGCAAUGGGGGAAACCCUGAGGCAGCAACGCCGCGGGCGGGAUGACGGUCUUCGGGUUGUAAACCGCUUUCAGCCAUGACGCGGUAGUGGCAGAAGAAGCACCGGCUAACUACGUGCCAGCAGCCGCGGUAAUUC